CCUACGGGCGGCAGCAGUGGUGAAUAUUGGGCAAUGGAGGAAACUCUGACCCAGCAAUGCCGCGUGAAUGAAGCAGGUCUUCGGAUUGUAAAGUUCUUUAGUCAGGGAAGAAAUCAAUGACGGUACCUGAAGAAUAAGCUCCGGCUAACUACGUGCCAGCAGCCGCGGUAAUACAGAGGUCUCAAGCGUUAUUCGGAAUCACUGGGCGUAAAGCGUGCGUAGGCGUUUUCGUAAAUCGUGUGUGAAAGGCUCGGGCUCAACCCGCGGACGGAACAUGAUACGGCGGGACUAGAGUAAUGGAGGGGGAACCGGAAUUCUCGGUGUAGCAGUGAAAUGCGUAGAUAUCGAGAGGAACACUCGGGGCGAAGGCGGGUUCAUGGACAUUAACGGACGCUGAGGCACGAAGGCCAGGGGAGCUAAAGGGAUUAGAUACCCUUGUAGUC
rnacentral:rRNA from 1 species